rnacentral:rRNA from 1 species
AAUGUAUAGAAGGCCCUGCCUGCCCAGUGACGUAAGUUAAAUGGCCGCGGUAUUUUGACCGUGCUAAGGUAGCGCAAUCACUUGUCUUUUAAAUGAAAACCUGUAUGAAUGGCAAGACGAGGGCUUAACUGUCUCCUUUUUUCAGUCAAUGAAAUUGAUCUGUCCGUGCAGAAGCGGACAUUAUUAUGCAAGACGAGAAGACCCUUUGGAGCUUAAGACAAACCGACCAACUGUGUCAAUUAUUCAACUAAAAAGAAACUAAAUAACCAUGAAACUGGUCAGCGUCUUCGGUUGGGGCGACCACGGAAGUAAAGUAAAACCUCCAAGUAGAAAGGGAAAACUCCCUGAACCAAGAGAUACAGCUCUAAGUCACAGAAAUUCUGACUUAAAGAUCCGGCUACCUAAGCCGAUCAACGAACCAAGUUACCCUAGGGAUAACAGCGCAAUCCUCUCCAAGAGUCCAUAUCGCCGAGAGGGUUUACGACCUCGAUGUUGGAUCAGGACAUCCUAAUGGUGCAGCCGCUAUUAAGGGUUCGUUUGUUCAACGAUUAAAGUCCUACGUGAUCUG